rnacentral:misc_RNA from 1 species
GAAAUGCGAUAAGUAAUGUGAAUUGCAGAAUUCAGUGAAUCAUCGAAUCUUUGAACGCAUCUUGCGCUCCUUGGUAUUCCUUGGAGCAUGCCUGUUUGAGUAUCAUGAAAUCUUCAAAGUAAAUCUUUUGUUAACUCAAUUGGUUUCUACUUUGGUAUUGGAGGUCUUUGCAGCUUCACACCUGCUCCUCUUUGUUCAUUAGCUGGAUCUCAGUGUUAUGCUUGGUUCCACUCGGCGUGAUAAGUUAUCUAUCGCUGAGGACACUGUAAAAGGUGGCCAAGGUAAAUGCAGAUGAACCGCUUCUAAUAGUACAAUGACUUGGACAAUACUUUUAUGAUCUGAUCUCAAAUCAGGUAGGACUACCCGCUGAACUUAAGC